GACGAACGCUGGCGGCGUGCCUAAUACAUGCAAGUUGAGCGCUGAAGGUUGGUACUUGUACCCACUGGAUGAGCAGCGAACGGGUGAGUAACGCGUGGGGAAUCUGCCUUUGAGCGGGGGACAACAUUUGGAAACGAAUGCCAAUACCGCAUAAAAACUUUAAACACAAGUUUUAAGUUUGAAAGAUGCAAUUGCAUCACUCAAAGAUGAUCCCGCGUUGUAUUAGCUAGUUGGUGAGGUAAAGGCUCACCAAGGCGAUGAUACAUAGCCGACCUGAGAGGGUGAUCGGCCACAUUGGGACUGAGACACGGCCCAAACUCCUACGGGAGGCAGCAGUAGGGAAUCUUCGGCAAUGGACGAAAGUCUGACCGAGCAACGCCGCGUGAGUGAAGAAGGUUUUCGGAUCGUAAAACUCUGUUGGUAGAGAAGAACGUUGGUGAGAGUGGAAAGCUCAUCAAGUGACGGUAACUACACAGAAAGGGACGGCUAACUACGUG
rnacentral:rRNA from 1 species